UGUUUCCAUGACAGAGGCACAUGCAUGUGUGCCUGUGCGCGUGCAUGUACACACUCACAUACACACGCA
rnacentral:miRNA from 1 species